rnacentral:lncRNA from 1 species
AUUUUGGAUUAACAUUUAAUCUAUGAAUGAUUAUGUCAGGAGCUAUACUUGGCAUAUUCAAGGUCGACUGCACAAUGAUAUUUGUGUUUUCUUGCAAGAAGGCCACAAGUUUUUUUCGAAGAUGUCCACUCAGUAGGGAGCUGACUUGGAUAGUCUUUGUUGGGUCUUCUUCUCUGAGAGGGAUUGAAAUAAGCUGUUCAGUAGGUUCUCCUCUGCUUUCUUCCUCUUGUUGGUCCAACCCAUCUAUUGGAAGGAUUUCUAAGGGCUUCUUUCCUUUGAUUAUUGUCAUAUAACAUUGUCGGGCUAAUUGCUGGUCUUCUCGCAUUUCACCAACUCCAUUUUUUAUCAAAAAUCAUACGAGAAGAUGAUAAGUCGAAACGAUUGUCUGAAGUAUAUUUAGCCCAGGUCGUCCCAAUAUCACAUUGUAGGCUGAUGGUACUCAAACUAUGAGGAAGUUAAGAAGGAUGGUUAUUUGCCGAGGUUAUUGUUCGAUGGUUACCGAAUCACCUAAGCAUUCAACUAAAGGCGUAUUAACUUAUUUUAGUUGAUCAGUAGAUAAUUGCAUCUGGAGGAAAGUAUUAUAAAACAACACAUCGGUAGAACUUUCAUUAUCGACUAAUACUUGUUUUACAUCAUAAUUUGCUAUUAUCAUAGAAACGAUAGCAGCAUCAUCAUGGGUCUAGAUUCACUGAAGAUCUUCAUUAGAAAAAGAGAUGUCAUUAUAUCCUCAUUGAUGCUUCGAGUUCUCUAAGCAUUCUAUCCUCAG